UCCGAGGUCGUUCAAUGGCAGGACAAGAGUUUUUGGUGCUCUUUAUUGGGGUUCGAAUCCCUGCCUCGGAACCA
rnacentral:tRNA from 1 species